UGAGUGAAGUUUAGUAAUGAAGUCCGUGAGCUGUGCGUCAAGAAAAGCCGCUAUUGUUCAUACCAUACCCGUACCGUAAACCGACACAGGUGGAUGAGGAGAGAAUCCUAAGGCCGGCGGAAGAAGCAUUGUCAAGGAACUCGGCAAAAUGACCCCGUAACUUAGGGAGAAGGGGUGCCUGCGAGAGCAGGCCGCAGAGAAUAGGCUCAAGUAACUGUUUAGCAGAAACACAGGUCUAUGCGAAACCGAAAGGUGAGGUAUAUGGGCUGACGCCUGCCCGGUGCUGGAAGGUUAAGAGGAGAGGUUAGCGCAAGCGAAGCUUUGAAUUUAAGCCCCAGUAAACGGCGGCCGUAACGAUAACGGUCCUAAGGUAGCGAAAUUCCUUGUCGGGUAAGUUCCGACCCGCACGAAAGGCGUAAUGAUUUGAGCGCUGUCUCGACAAUGCAUCCGGUGAAAUUGAAGUACCAGUGAAGAUGCUGGUUACCUGCGCCAGGACGGAAAGACCCCAUGGAGCUUUACUCCAGUUUGGUACUGGGAUCCGGUACUGCAUGUACAGGAUAGGUGGGAGGCUGAGAAUCGGUAACGCCAGUUGCCGAGGAGCCGCUGUUGGGAUACCACCCUUGCAGUAUUGGGUUUCUAACCAGCCGCCGUGACCCGGCGGUGGGACAAUGCCAGACGGGGAGUUUGACUGGGGCGGUCGCCUCCGAAAGGGUAUCGGAGGCGCCCAAAGGUUCCCUCAGGAUGGACGGAAACCAUCCAAAGAGUGCAAAGGCAGAAGGGAGCUUGACUGCGACACCGACGGGUGGAGCAGGUACGAAAGUAGGGCUUAGUGAUCCGGUGGUAUUAAGUGGGAAUGCCAUCGCUCAACGGAUAAAAGCUACCCUGGGAUAACAGGCUUAUCACUCCCAAGAGUUCACAUCGACGGAGUGGUUUGGCACCUCGAUGUCGACUCAUCGCAUCCUGGGGCUGUAGUAGGUCCCAAGGGUUGGGCUGUUCGCCCAUUAAAGCGGUACGCGAGCUGGGUUCAGAACGUCGUGAGACAGUUCGGUCCCUAUCCGGCGUGGGCGUAGGAUAUCUGAGAGGAGCUGUCCUUAGUACGAGAGGACCGGGAUGGACGGGCCGCUGGUGCACCGGUUAGACUGCCAAGUCUAUAGCCGGGUAGCCAAGCCCGGAAGGGAUAAACGCUGAAGGCAUCUAAGCGUGAAGCCCCCCUCAAGAUGAGAUAUCCCAUCCGAAAGGAGUAAACCCCCUUGAAGACGACGAGGUCGAUAGGGCAGGGGUGGAAGUGUGGUAACACAUGGAGC
rnacentral:rRNA from 1 species